rnacentral:lncRNA from 1 species
UAGCUCUUGGCUCUUUAGAGACCUUCUUUUCAAGCUCAACUAACCUCCCACUGUCACCAUCUUGGAUAAACUAUUUUUCUAGGAAUAUGACGUUAUGACUCACAAUCACAUUAUGGUCUUGUGAAAAGUAGAAGUAGUAUCCCAUGGAUUCUUUUGGAUACCCUAUAAAAUAAGCUAUAAUAGAUCUAUCCUCUAGCUUA